CCUCGAAUGAAGAUUCUAUCAUUGUCCUCACUUUCAGAUUAGGAAACCGAGGCCAGGGAGGUUAUGACGCCUGCUGUGCCCACCGAGUUAGGAAGCAGCAGGUCUGUGGUUUGACACUCUGAAGUCAGUGGUCCUCUGCUGCCUUUUCUUCUCCGCCUACAGACGUGUUUCUAGAUACUGAGAGCCAGAGCGGCGACAGAGGGCUUCCCUGGGGUCCAGGGUCACUCAGAGUCGUGGCCAAGGAAGCUGAACCCCAGAGCAAAGGACACCAGGAAGAGGAGAGGGUUCCUCUGAAAACAGCAGGGUGGGUGCAGACUGACGUGCUUGUCGACACAGCAGUCUGGACACACCUGGAAAUACCUGCUCCACCGCCUGGAAGGCCUGAUGAGAGCAAGAACACUGAUGGAGAGAUAGUAAAUACCUCCAUGCAGCCUGAGGGCACAGAGCACACAGCAAGCCAGCAAGAGGAACAGCACCAACCGGACACUUCUCCCUUGCCACAAGCUCACCAAGAGCACAUACAAUUAGGUGAACGUGGAAAUGGAGUGGCAGGGAAAGAAAGGAAAAGAGAGAAGAAGAAAUGGGAAAGAGGAUGGGAGAGGAGAGAAGCCGCAGGUUGGUGCUCCAUCUCUAAAAUUGAUGAGCAGUGCUAGAUGAUUUUUAAUGCCCCUUUCUAGUGCUCUAUGAUGGAAGAGUAGUAAAGAGAAAAGAAAGAGGGUAUGUGAUGGUGAGGAGUGGUCCGAAAGCCUAAAAGAAGAUGCUGAGCCCAUGAGGGCUAUGUUGCUCAUCUCAUGCAUUGUAUCUAAUCUACAAAUCAUGCAACACAAAGAGCGAGAGGGAGAGUAGAGAGAGUAGAGAGGAGAGAGUAGCGGCACCAGUAGAGAUAUCACCCUGUCAUGUCAGCCUGGAUUUCCCACUGUGGCCUCAUCUGUUCUGAAUCUAUGCCAAGCAUCCAAUACGGGGCCACAAAUACUUGUUGGUUCAAACACAAUUAUGCUUUCAUUUUAGGAAAUAUAGGAAAAAAACCACCAAAGAGCAUAAAGAAAAAAAU
rnacentral:lncRNA from 1 species